rnacentral:rRNA from 1 species
GACAGAGGAGCCAAGCGUUGUCCGGAGUAACUGGGCGUAAAGCGCACGCAGGCGGUUCUGUGCGUGGGGUGUGAAAGCUCUCGGCUUAACUGAGAGAGGCCACCUCAUACGGCAGAACUGGAGCCCUGCAGAGGUCCACGGAAUUGCCGGUGUAGUGGUGAAAUGCGUAGAGAUGUGGAGGAACACCGAUGGCGAAGGCAGCCCCCUGGGUCAAGAUUGACGCUCAUGCACGAAAGCGUGGGGAGCAAACAGG